rnacentral:lncRNA from 1 species
UUUUUCCUUUUUGUCUCCAUUUUCCUUUUUUUUGGUCUGUUUUCCUUUUUUUUUUUUUCCUCCAUUUUUCCUUUUUUCCUCCAUUUUUCCUUUUUUUCUCCAUUUUUCCUUUUUUCCUCCAUUUCUCCUUUUUUCCUCCAUUUCUCCUUUUUUUCUCCAUUUCUCCUUUUUUGCUCCAUUUUCCUCCAUUCAUUUUCCCUUUUUUCAUCAUCUUUUCCUUUUUCCUCCUGCAUUUUUAGUCCUCUUCCUUCUUUCCUUUUUUCCUGGUUCAUUUUCCUUUAUUCUGUUUUGUUUCCCUGUUCAAGGUCAUUCUCCUUUUUUGGGGGUUCAUUUUCCUUCUAUUUUCUCAUUUCAUUUUUUGGUUCAUUUUCCUUUUAUUUUGAUUCAUUUUCCCUUUUUUUGUCAUUUUCCUUUUAUUUUUGUUCAUUUUCCUCUUUUAUUUUUUCUGCUAUUUUCCCUUUUUUGGUUCAUUUUCCCUUUUCUUUGGCCACUUCACUUUUGUGGGGGUUUAUUUUUCUUUUCUUUUUUUCCUUUUUUGGGUCAUUUUCCUUUUUUCAUUUUUCGUUUCCUUUUUUUUUUUUUUUCCUUUUUUUAUGUUCACCUUCCCUUUUUUUGGUUCACUUUCCCCUUUUUUUUUGUUCAUUUUCCUUUAUUUUAACCAUUUACCGCCGGCUUUCUCCGCACUGCCCUGUACAUAACCCCGCGUGGCCCCCCUGGGAUGCGGCGGCUGCUUUGGCUUUUUUGGGGGGAAAUCCUCCUGAAAAACGGAAAAAAGAGCAAAAACCACCCCAAAACUUCACCAAGAACCUGGGAAUUACAUGAAAUAAACUCGGGGAGCGGCCGCCA